rnacentral:rRNA from 1 species
CCUACGGGAGGCAGCAGUGGGGAAUAUUGCACAAUGGGGGGAACCCUGAUGCAGCGACGCCGCGUGAGUGAAGAAGUAUUUCGGUAUGUAAAGCUCUAUCAGCAGGGAAGAAAAUGACGGUACCUGACUAAGAAGCCCCGGCUAACUACGUGCCAGCAGCCGCGGUAAUACGUAGGGGGCAAGCGUUAUCCGGAUUUACUGGGGGUAAAGGGAGCGCAGACGGCUGUGCAAGUCUGGAGUGAAAGGCGGGGGCACAACCCCCGGACUGCUCUGGAAACUGUAAAGCUGGAGUGCAGGAGAGGUAAGCGGAAUUCCUAGUGUAGCGGUGAAAGGCGUAGAUAUUAGGAGGAACACCAGUGGCGAAGGCGGCUUACUGGACUGCAACUGACGUUGAGGCUCGAAAGCGUGGGGAGCAAACAGGAUUAGAUACCCUGGUAGUC